rnacentral:rRNA from 1 species
GAUGAACGCUGGCGGCGUGCCUAAUACAUGCAAGUCGAGCGCUGAGACUAGGAGCUUGCUCCUCUGACGUUUGCGGCAGACGGGUGAGUAACGCGUGGAUAACCUACCUCUCAUACUGGGAUCGCUUCGGGAAGCCGGCUAAUAUUCCGUAUUAUCUAUUCAUCGGCUUGGGUCAGGUGUAAAAGGCGUUUUUGCUGUCGCUUAGAGAUGGAUCCGCGCCGCAUUAGCGAGUUGGUAAGGUAACGGCUGACCUAGGCAACGAUGCGUACCCGACCUGAGAGCGUGCUCGGCCAAACUGGAACAGAGAGACGGUGCUGACGCCUACGGGAGUCAGCGGUAGAGAAUCUUGGGCAAUGGCAGAAAGCCUGAAGGAGCAACGCCGCGUGAGUGCUGAAGGUCUGCGGAUCGUAGAGCUCUGUUAUUAUGGAAGAAAAAAUGUGUAAGUAACUAUGGACGUGUUGAGGGUAGUGAAUCAGAAAGCCACGGCUAACUACGUG